rnacentral:rRNA from 1 species
GAGUUUGAACCUGGCUCAGGAUGAACGCUGGCGGCGUGCUUAACACAUGCAAGUCGAACGAAGCACUACCGACGGAACUUUUCGGAGGGAAGAUGGUAAUGACUGAGUGGCGGACGGGUGAGUAACGCGUGGGCAACCUGCCCCAUAGAGGGGGACAACAGCUGGAAACGGCUGCUAAUACCGCAUAACAAGGAGAGAGCGCAUGUUCUUUUCUUCAAAGAUUUAUCGCUAUGGGAUGGACCCGCGUCUGAUUAGCUGGUUGGUGAGGUAACGGCUCACCAAGGCGACGAUCAGUAGCCGGCUUGAGAGAGUGGACGGCCACAUUGGGACUGAGACACGGCCCAGACUCCUACGGGAGGCAGCAGUGGGGAAUAUUGCACAAUGGGGAAACCCUGAUGCAGCGACGCCGCGUGAGUGAAGAAGUAUUUCGGUAUGUAAAGCUCUAUCAGCAGGGAAGAUAAUGACGGUACCUGACUAAGAAGCCCCGGCUAACUACGUGCCAGCAGCCGCGGUAAUACGUAGGGGGCAAGCGUUAUCCGGAUUUACUGGGUGUAAAGGGAGCGUAGGUGGCAGGGCAAGUCAGAUGUGAAAACCUGGGGCUCAACCCCGGGAGUGCAUUUGAAACUGUCCAGCUGGAGUGCAGGAGAGGUAAGCGGAAUUCCUAGUGUAGCGGUGAAAUGCAUAGAUAUUAGGAGGAACACCAGUGGCGAAGGCGGCUUACUGGACUGUAACUG